rnacentral:rRNA from 1 species
UACGUAGGGGGCAAGCGUUGUCCGGAAUCAUUGGGCGUAAAGCGCGUGUAGGCGGCCUCGUAAGUCCGUUGUGAAAGUCCAGGGCUCAACCCUGGAAUGCCGAUGGAUACUGCGGAGCUAGAGUCCGGAAGAGGCGAGUGGAAUUCCUGGUGUAGCGGUGAAAUGCGCAGAUAUCAGGAGGAACACCAAUGGCGAAGGCAGCUCGCUGGGACGGUACUGACGCUGAGACGCGAAAGCGUGGGGAGCAAACAGG